rnacentral:rRNA from 1 species
UACGUAGGGCGCAAGCGUUUGUCCGGAAUUAUUGGGCGUAAAGAGCUCGUAGGCGGUCAGUCGCGUCUGCUGUGAAAACUCGAGGCUCAACCUCGGGCUUGCAGUGGGUACGGGCUGACUAGAGUGCGGUAGGGGUGACUGGAAUUCCUGGUGUAGCGGUGGAAUGCGCAGAUAUCAGGAGGAACACCGAUGGCGAAGGCAGGUCACUGGGCCGCAACUGACGCUGAGGAGCGAAAGCAUGGGGAGCGAACAGG